UACAUGGGGUGCAAACGUUGCUCGGAAUUAUUGGGCGUAAAGCGCACGUAGGCGGUUCGUUAAGUCGGAUGUGAAAGCCCUCGGCUCAACCGAGGAAGUGCAUCCGAAACUGGCGAGCUAGAGUACGAAAGAGGAUCGCGGAAUUCCCGGUGUAGAGGUGAAAUUCGUAGAUAUCGGGAGGAACACCGGUGGCGAAGGCGGCGAUCUGGGUCGAUACUGACGCUGAGGUGCGAAAGCGUGGGGAGCAAACAGG
rnacentral:rRNA from 1 species